rnacentral:rRNA from 1 species
UACGUAGGGUGCGAGCGUUGUCCGGAAUUAUUGGGCGUAAAGAGCUCGUAGGCGGUGUGUCACGUCGUUCGUGAAAACCUGCAGCUUAACUGUGGGCGUGCGGUCGAUACGGGCAUCACUGGAGUUCGGUAGGGGAGACUGGAAUUCCUGGUGUAGCGGUGAAAUGCGCAGAUAUCAGGAGGAACACCGGUGGCGAAGGCGGGUCUCUGGGCCGAUAUUGACGCUGAGGAGCGAAAGCGUGGGGAGCGAACAGG